rnacentral:sRNA from 1 species
UGCAUCUGAGGCCAGUGAGGAUGAGAACCUCCGGGGGCAGGAGGUUCGACUCGAGCGAAGCGAGAGAACGUUGCGUCAGCAACGGCCCGUAGGGCGAGCCACG